CGAAUGCUGACAUAAGUAACGAUAAAGCGGGUGAAAAGCCCGCUCGCCGGAAGACCAAGGGUUCCUGUCCAACGUUAAUCGGGGCAGGGUGAGUCGACCCCUAAGGCGAGGCCGAAAGGCGUAGUCGAUGGGAAACAGGUUAAUAUUCCUGUACUUGGUGUUACUGCGAAGGGGGGACGGAGAAGGCUAUGUUGGCCGGGCGACGGUUGUCCCGGUUUAAGCGUGUAGGCUGGUUUUCCAGGCAAAUCCGGAAAAUCAAGGCUGAGGCGUGAUGACGAGGCACUACGGUGCUGAAGCAACAAAUGCCCUGCUUCCAGGAAAAGCCUCUAAGCAUCAGGUAACAUCAAAUCGUACCCCAAACCGACACAGGUGGUCAGGUAGAGAAUACCAAGGCGCUUGAGAGAACUCGGGUGAAGGAACUAGGCAAAAUGGUGCCGUAACUUCGGGAGAAGGCACGCUGAUAUGUAGGUGAAGUCCCUCGCGGAUGGAGCUGAAAUCAGUCGAAGAUACCAGCUGGCUGCAACUGUUUAUUAAAAACACAGCACUGUGCAAACACGAAAGUGGACGUAUACGGUGUGACGCCUGCCCGGUGCCGGAAGGUUAAUUGAUGGGGUCAGCGCAAGCGAAGCUCUUGAUCGAAGCCCCGGUAAACGGCGGCCGUAACUAUAACGGUCCUAAGGUAGCGAAAUUCCUUGUCGGGUAAGUUCCGACCUGCACGAAUGGCGUAAUGAUGGCCAGGCUGUCUCCACCCGAGACUCAGUGAAAUUGAACUCGCUGUGAAGAUGCAGUGUACCCGCGGCAAGACGGAAAGACCCCGUGAACCUUUACUAUAGCUUGACACUGAACAUUGAGCCUUGAUGUGUAGGAUAGGUGGGAGGCUUUGAAGUGUGGACGCCAGUCUGCAUGGAGCCGACCUUGAAAUACCACCCUUUAAUGUUUGAUGUUCUAACGUGGACCCGUGAUCCGGGUUGCGGACAGUGUCUGGUGGGUAGUUUGACUGGGGCGGUCUCCUCCUAAAGAGUAACGGAGGAGCACGAAGGUUGGCUAAUCCUGGUCGGACAUCAGGAGGUUAGUGCAAUGGCAUAAGCCAGCUUGACUGCGAGCGUGACGGCGCGAGCAGGUGCGAAAGCAGGUCAUAGUGAUCCGGUGGUUCUGAAUGGAAGGGCCAUCGCUCAACGGAUAAAAGGUACUCCGGGGAUAACAGGCUGAUACCGCCCAAGAGUUCAUAUCGACGGCGGUGUUUGGCACCUCGAUGUCGGCUCAUCACAUCCUGGGGCUGAAGUAGGUCCCAAGGGUAUGGCUGUUCGCCAUUUAAAGUGGUACGCGAGCUGGGUUUAGAACGUCGUGAGACAGUUCGGUCCCUAUCUGCCGUGGGCGCUGGAGAACUGAGGGGGGCUGCUCCUAGUACGAGAGGACCGGAGUGGACGCAUCACUGGUGUUCGGGUUGUCAUGCCAAUGGCACUGCCCGGUAGCUAAAUGCGGAAGAGAUAAGUGCUGAAAGCAUCUAAGCACGAAACUUGCCCCGAGAUGAGUUCUCCCUGACCCUUUAAGGGUCCUGAAGGAACGUUGAAGACGACGACGUUGAUAGGCCGGGUGUGUAAGCGCAGCGAUGCGUUGAGCUAACCGGUAC
rnacentral:rRNA from 1 species